rnacentral:ncRNA from 1 species
UCUGCCAACUAUGGCUAUCAAAUCAAUGCUGAACCAUAACUGCAUAAGUGUCAGAACGUUUCAAGAAUCAUUGGCGUUAUACAAUGUGCCGAAAGACUGCAAAACGUAUACGGUUAAAAAAUUUGGGUGAAAACUGUCGGUGAUAACGCACUGGCAGUUUUUA